UCAGGUAAUGAAGUUAGGCUGUAAGUAUUAUUCUCUAUCAAAGAAUCCAUUUCACCCUUCAUAGCUUUAGCCCAUAGUUGUGAUUGUGGUGAGCUCAUAGCUUCUUCCACUGUCUUAGGCACAUCACAUGCAAGCCUAUAACAAUAGUCAAUGUUCAUGUGUGCUUGAUCAUCCUCACAUUUCAUUUCAUAAUCCUGAUCUGUGUAAUACUUAGGAGGUCUCCUGUCUCUCUUAGGAUAACGUACACCAGGGUUACCUCCAAUUUGAUCUAAGUUCUCAUCAUUAUCACAAGACUCAGUUUUCACCUCUUGUGAGAUAACUGUUCUCAAAUCUGGUUUCAAUUGUACACUUUCAACUUUCUUCUUGAGUAAAAUAUUCUCAUUUAUGUCAUCGUCAGUCUGAGUGUCACAUUCAUAGGUACUUUUUGUGGUAAACUUUACCAGCCUGUUCUUAAGUACUCGCCCUGUAUUUGGAUAAAAGAUGAGAUAUGCAGGACUAUUUUUGUCAUAACCAACAAAAAUCCCCUUUUCACAACGUGGAUCCAACUUUUUCUUGUCAUAUUUAUAUGCAUAACAUUCAGAUCCAAAAGUUCUCAUUUUUGAAAGGUCUGGUUUCUUUCCAGUUAACAUGUAAUAUGGAGUCUGCUCAACACGUCUGUUGUAACAUCUAUUACGGAUAAUAGCAGCCGUCUGAACUGCAUAUGUCCAUAAAUCUUUAGGCAGAUUACUCUCAAUUAGCAUGCAUCUUGCCAUUUCUCCAUGUUCUCUCAGCUGUCCCAUUCUGAUGGGGAGAAUAAGGGGCUGAAGUUUCAUGUCUAAUGGCAUUUUGACUAAGCAAUGAUUGGAACUCUCUGGACAUAAAUUCAGUUCCACUAUCGGAUCUUAUACAUUUAAUUUUUACAUGAGGUGCCACAUCUGCAAUAAACUUCUCUGUGGAACAAUAACUAUGACUGCUUUCUGUGUGUUUAUAUCUUUUAAAAUAUUGCUGCAAUCCUCUAAGAAGCCAUUGUCCUCCUGUCUCUGUAAGUGACGGCUCCCAGGAGGCUUUUGAGCUCUACUACAGUGAGACGUACAGUGAGAGCUCGUCCAUCUCGCUGCAGGACUCCCAUCGCAGCCUGGCAUCAGCCAGUGACGGAGCAGACAGCGACCCCGCCCUGCUGCUGAUGCAGGAGUACAUGAUCACACUGAGGAACAAGCUGAAUCCUCUGGAGCUGCAGCAGUUUGCAGUCCUGCUGAGAGAAUACAGGCUGGGUUCAAACAUCGACCACUUCUGCUCUGAGCUGCUGCAGCUGUACGGAGACGAGCGCAAAUUCCUGCUGCUGGAUGAGAGACCGAGACGGAGUUAUUGUUUUCUUUUAUUUGGAUCGGUUGCAGUUCGCUCUGUCUACUCUUCCUGAGGCAUGCGGCCGUUUAUUCCAGACAAAGACGUCGGCGUGUUCGAGGAGUUCCUUGAAAGCAUCGGGAUCCGAGAAGGCGGGAUUUUAACCGACAGCUUUGGACGUAUUAAACGCAGCAUGAGCAACACCUCAGCCACGGCCAUGAGAGGAUACGUGGAAACGGACGUGAAAAGUUUAUUUUCAAUAAUUCACUUCAUGAUUGAUUCAUCACACAAAAAGUGAUCUAUUUUAAGAGCUUAUUUCUGUCUAGUUUGAAGAUUAUAACAAAUGAAAACACAAAUUGUGGUUUCUCUAUAACAAAAAUUAUAAGAUGACAAAACAUUUUUAAUUCUGAAACUGACCUAAACAACCUUAGAGAAGACUGUUGUGUUGACAGUCAGUCAGAAUUAUAAGCUUCAACAAAACAUUGCUAAAACAUAGCUGUAUUCAAACUUAUUAUAAGAGAAAAUUCAGUGGAAAGAAAAAGUGUGACAUUUGACUUAAAUUCUGCUGGCCUGUUUUUUUUUUUGUUCAGAUCCUGCAUUUGAUUUGAUUUAGUUCUUCUAUCUAUACAAAAACCUGUCAGCAAGAUAACAGCUAUUCCUCUCUCAGUAGGUACGACAACGACUCUUUAGCAACAGGGUCUCAGGAAUUUAACCGACGCAUCACUGACAUCACCCACGACAUCCAGGCGCUGGGCUUCCAGGACAUGCACGAAGACAUCGAAGAGGAAGACUACUACCUCUGAUGAAGGCAGAGAAGAAAAGACUUAAGAGAGAGAUUUCCCAUUAGUUCUGUGUUUUCAUUCACGGUAAAAAGGAACCAAAGUCAAAUUUUGUUUCUGCACAAACUUGAUGAAUAAAGCUGAUCUUGAUUCUAA